rnacentral:rRNA from 1 species
AUUGAACGCUGGCGGCAGGCCUAACACAUGCAAGUCGAGCGAGCGGCGGACGGGUGUGUAAUGUAUGGGGACUGCCCGAUAGAGGGGGAUAACUACUGGAAAAGGUAGCGCAAACCGCAUACUAUCGGAUAACCCAUAUGGGAUUAUCUCUUUGGUGGGGUAAUGGCUCACCAAGGCGACGAUCCCUAGCUGGUCUGAGAGGAUGAUCAGCCACACUGGGACUGAGACACGGCCCAGACUCCUACGGAGGCAGCAGUGGGGAAUAUUGCACAAUGGGCGCAAGCCUGAUGCAGCCAUGCCGCGUGUAUGAAGAAGGCCUUAGGGUUGUAAAGUACUUUCAGUCGGGAGGCGUUACCGACAGAAGAAGCACCGGCUAACUCCGUGCCAGCCGCCGCGGUAAUUC